rnacentral:rRNA from 1 species
AUGUUCCCGUUAAUCAAGAACGAAAGUUAGAGGUUCGAAGGCGAUCAGAUACCGCCCUAGUUCUAACCAUAAACGAUGCCAGCCAGCGAUCCGCCGAAGUUCCUCCGAUGACUCGGCGGGCAGCUUCCCGGGAAACCAAAGCUUUUGGGUUCCGGGGGAAGUAUGGUUGCAAAGCUGAAACUUAAAGGAAUUGACGGAAGGGCACCACCAGGAGUGGAGCCUGCGGCUUAAUUUGACUCAACACGGGAAACCUCACCAGGCCCGGACACCGGAAGGAUUGACAGAUUGAGAGCUCUUUCUUGAUUCGGUGGGUGGUGGUGCAUGGCCGUUCUUAGUUGGUGGAGCGAUUUGUCUGGUUAAUUCCGGUAACGAACGAGACUCUAGCCUGCUAAAUAGACGAUUUCCGGUAUCCACAAAUAGUGCUACCGGCGAAAUCAAUAUCUUCUUAGAGGGACAGGCGGCUUUCAGCCGCACGAAACUGAGCAAUAACAGGUCUGUGAUGCCCUUAGAUGUCCUGGGCCGCACGCGCGCUACACUGAAGGAAUCAGCGUGUACACCCUGGCCGAAAGGCCCGGGCAACCCGUUGAACCUCCUUCGUGCUAGGGACUGGGGCUUGCAAUUGUUCCCCAUGAACGAGGAAUUCCCAGUAAGCGCGAGUCAUAAGCUCGCGUUGAUUACGUCCCUGCCCUUUGUACACACCGCCCGUCGCUACUACCGAUUGAAUGAUUUAGUGAGGUCUUCGGACUGGUGCGCGGCGACCGCCUCGCGCGGCCGCCGAUGCCACCGGGAAGAUGACCGAACUUGAUCAUUUAGAGGAAGUAAAAGUCGUAACAA